GCAACUUCGUCUCUGCGUUCUCCCAUGUUUUCCCCCGCCCGCACCUCCCCCUCCCCCUUCUAGUCUUCGUUGCUCGCUUCUCAUUCCUAGUCGCGACCUGGCCAAUGAUCUUAUUACUCAGAAUCAGGAAUAAUUACACUAUAAAAGGAAGGAGAGGUGGAGAAUAAACAAGAAAAGUAGCACCAGAGGCAAGACUGCUCAUAAUCCGAGGUCAAAUUCUAGCCUAAUUGUGAUUGGUAUUUGAAAAUAAGAUGAGUCAUAGAUGAUUCCAGUUUCUUUUUCAGUGUCUUGGUUUCCUGCAGUUCGUCCAAUAAAGAACUCUACAUUCGACAGCAGUUCACCAGGAAACAGCUACAUCACAUAUUCACAUUCUAGUUAAAUGUGAUUGGUAAUCAGUUUGAGCCACAGAUCAUUUCAGUUUAGCGGUUUCAAGCUGCAAGUCUAGUUAAAAACUUCACUACAGCAAUUUAGCAACCUAAGCACCCUAUCAUGGGAGUUCAAGUUUUCAACGCAUGCCCUCUUCUUUGUACCCAUGUGUCUAAACCACUGAAUUUUCCUUUCUUU